GGGCCGGUAGCUCAGCCUGGCAAUGGUUUCAUCCAUUCAAAGAUGAAAUGUUGGGUAACUAGAGCACUUGACUUUUAAUCAAGGGGUCGCGAGUUCAAAUCUCGUCCGGCCCA
rnacentral:tRNA from 1 species